rnacentral:lncRNA from 1 species
AGCUGCUAUAGCUCAGAUUGUAUCAAUCAACUUUAUUCAGUAAAAAAUUCUAGAUUAAUCUAGAUUCUUCUUAUUCAUUUCCCCUCUUCUUUUCUCAUGCUCCAAACAGUUUAUCGACUCCAAUAUAAAUUUACGUUGAUUUUGGGUGUCCUGGAGAAGAGUGGUGAGACCAAGGAUUUAGCUGCCGGCGAUGGACCGUAUAACCUACCUCAAUUGUUCUUGUGCUAGGUUUGAAAUUAACUAUUCACUAAAGAAGAGCGGAAGGAGGAUGUUCAAGUCUGAACUGUUUCAAAUUGGGGAUGUCUUGAACGUUAGGACCUCCAGGCUGUUGAUGCAUUUCCAAAACUGUUAAUUAGCUAUCGAAGAAAUUGCUGCCUCAACAGGCAUGAUGCUAAGGUGCUAAAAUCCUCAUUCCAAUCUCUUACAUCAUUUAUAUUAUGAUUCUUUAUUCUAAACUGGAGAAUCUUCCAUAGGUUUGUAAAAAAAGACCGGUAAUUUUCGUUUACUUGCUUCUGCAGAGUAGCUGUCUUGGCUGGAAUUUCGUUUCCGUUUCCAUUGUUCGAGCACAAACAGAAACAGUGCUAGUUUUCUAUAAUUCUUGGUAGUCACAAAACUACUCUACUUGUUGUUAUUAUGGCUUAAAUUUGUGUUAUUUUCACAAUAUUUCUUUGAAUUGUUGUUGCUCUCGUUUAAGAUAUAACACCAUUUUCAUCAUAUUUCUUUUAGCAGUGAGAUUGAGGAGACAGGACAAUGAUUGGACACUUUUAGCUUCUUCUACUUUUAUUAGUGCAUUAGGUGCUAUCCACUAAUAACCGCAAGUUUGAUUACAAUACUGCUACUAGCUAGAAAAUGAGGAUUUACUUUUAUAUGUUGUUCUGUAAUUAAUUCCAAACUCUAUGUUAAACCUUUGAGCAAACUUAAUAAUGUCUUCAAUUUCAGAUGAUAAGAUGUUCUCUGAAGCAAGCAAAAUUUUUCGCGAGGAUUUUCCUCACAUCAGAUGAAAUGACUUUUGACA